AGGUCGAUGAGGUUGGGCCCAGUGGGUGGCGCCUAUGACGACGAUACAAGGAUCUAAUAAGAUCCGAGAGAUAGAGAGAGGGCUUCGGGAAGGGAGAGAGAGAGAAAGACCUGAUUUUUUUUCCUCAGUCCUACUUUUGUCCUUGUAUGGCCGUGCUUUGUGUUUCUUUUUGCUCCCUUUGUUCGAUUUCGUCCCUGUCUGAGCAAAAUAUAUUUCUCUCUGAUUUUUGCAAGAACCCAGAAAACCUAGAAAGCAUGAGGAGGAAGAAAGUCUACAACUGAACCAAAAAAAAAAGAGUUUUCCUAAUUGGAAAUGAAGCAAUAACCCUUCAUUUAUUUUUGCUCAAAACAUCGAUUCGAAGUUUUUGUUGUUGUUGCGUUUGGUUGGACUUUCUUCCUCGGUUACCCACUGGUUAAGAGAAAGCGGAGGUAAUGGGAAGGGAAUGAAGGUUUGGUACUUUGAAUGUUACGUUGUCGUUUUGCUGGGAUUUUAGAUGACGGGAGAUGUGGAUUUCAAAUUCAAAACUUCUCUGACUUUUUCUUGGCAGCCAAACACACCGUGAAAGUUUCGUUAUAUUUUUCGAACACCCUGAUUUCUUUGCACAUUUUUUUAUGUUUAUUGCGACGUGCAUUAGUUUUCCGAUAUAUUAACAAGAUGAGAUGAAAGGUUUUGGAUUUUGCUUUUUGCUUUUUAUGUGCUAUAGUUUUCGGGUCAGAUCCUGCUACGUAUACACAAAUGAUACUGCAUUAGAUAAUGUUAAGGAUUGUAUGUUUCAAAUUAUUAUUUUCCUUCCAAAAAAGUUCCCCUUUGAGGUUCUCUUUUUUUUCCCUUCUUCUUAUGGCUUUGAAUUUGGCCCUUUAGUUUUGGAAAUGCUAAGAGAAAGAAAUAGAAAUGUCCUAAAUGCUAAAAUAUUGAACUCUGGCUUUUUUUUUUUUUUUUUUUUUUGUUCAAAGGGAAUUCCUUUCUAGAAAUCAAAUGUUUUAUUAUUUAUGUUUUAAAAUAGAGAAAAGUUUUGGUUAGUCAAAAGGGUUAUGAUAGGCUCCUGGAUUGUUAUUUUUAGUAGUCUGUUAUUUUUUUUUCCCCUCUCAACGCUUCUGUAAUUAUAUAAUCAUCACCAGCUUGCUCAUAUGAUCUGAAUUGAUGUAUAGUUCCCUGGGGGAGAUGAUAUAUGGCUGUGGUGACUUGAUUUUUUCAUCACACAUUAUUUUUACGUUAUUA